rnacentral:rRNA from 1 species
CCUACGGGCUGCACCAGUAGGGAAUCUUCGGCAAUGGACGAAAGUCUGACGGAGCAACGCCGCGUGAGCGAAGAAGGCCUUCGGGUCGUAAAGCUCUGUUGUUAGGGAAGAACAAGUAACGCAGUAACUGGCGUUACCGUGACGGUACCUAACGAGAAAGCCACGGCUAACUACGUGCCAGCAGCCGCGGUAAUACGUAGGUGGCAAGCGUUGUCCGGAAUUAUUGGGCGUAAAGCGCGCGCAGGCGGUUCCUUAAGUCUGAUGUGAAAGCCCACGGCUCAACCGUGGAGGGUCAUUGGAAACUGGGGGACUUGGGUGCAGAAGAGGAGAGCUGAAUUCCACGUGUAGCGGUGAAAUGCGUAGAGAUGCGGAGGAACACCAGUGGCGAAGGCGGCUCUCUGGUCUGUAACUGACGCUGAGGCGCGAAAGCGUGGGGAGCAAACAGGAUUAGAUACCCUCGUAGUC